CAAGGUUUCCAUAGGAGAACCCGCGGAAGGAUCAUUG
rnacentral:rRNA from 1 species